rnacentral:rRNA from 1 species
UGGCGGCGCGCCUAAUACAUGCAAGUUGAGCGAGAAGACGUAGCAAUACGUUUGUAAAGCGGCGAACGGGUGAGGAAUACAUGGGUAACCUACCCUCGAGUGGGGAAUAACUAGCCGAAAGGUUAGCUAAUACCGCGUACGUUCCUUGGACUUCGGUUCAGGGAGGAAAGCGAUACCGUGGGUAUCGCGCUCUUGGUUGGGCUCAUGUCCUAUCAGCUUGUUGGUGAGGUAACGGCUCACCAAGGCUUCGACGGGUAGCUGGUCUGAGAGGACGAUCAGCCACACUGGCACUGCGACACGGGCCAGACUCCUACGGGAGGCAGCAGUAAGGAAUAUUGCGCAAUGGGCGAAAGCCUGACGCAGCGACGCCGCGUGGGGGAUGAAGGUCUUCGGAUUGUAAACCCCUUUCGGGAGGGAAGAUGGAACGAGCAAUCGUUCGGACGGUACCUCCAGAAGCAGCCACGGCUAACUUCGUGCCAGCAGCCGCGGUAAUACGAAGGUGGCAAGCGUUAUUCGGAUUUACUGGGCGUACAGGGAGCGUAGGCGGUUCGGUAAGCCCUCUGUGAAAUCUCCAGGCUUAACCUGGAACAGUCGGAGGGGACUGCUGGGCUAGAGGACGGGAGAGGAGCGCGGAAUUCCCGGUGUAGCGGUGAAAUGCGUAGAGAUCGGGAGGAAGGCCGGUGGCGAAGGCGGCGCUCUGGAACGUUUCUGACGCUGAGGCUCGAAAGCG